GGUUGUAGCUUAGUGGUAAAGUUCUUGCCUCACAUGCAUGAGACACUGGGUUUGAUACUCAGAACCA
rnacentral:tRNA from 1 species